rnacentral:snoRNA from 1 species
GAUCAGUGAUGAAAACCUGAGCAUCAAAGGACCUUCCAGUCUGCUUUGAUGUNUGAUCUCCAUAGUUUUGAGA